rnacentral:lncRNA from 1 species
GCCCGACAAUUACACCGACUAGCCAACAUCAUAGGACUCCUGCAAUCCAGGCCAUCGCAGGCCAAGGUUUUUGAAGGAAGCCCUCAAAGAAAGGAAGACCCUUUUAUUAUCUGGAUUCAUCCUUGGCCAUCAGUGAUGGUGAAAGCAACAGAUGUCAGAUGUCAGCCCCUGGCUUCCUGCCUUACCGUAGAGGGAUACUCGACAGACAGACUGGACAGAUCACUCAUGCUGGGGAAAGCCAGGUGUCAUGUCUUGGGGAAUCCAGGUGUUAUGUCUUAAGGACAGGCUGGCAGACCUGUGCAUACGCCCAUGUAGCGAGAAACUAGACCCUCAGCUCAAGACACUGAAAGAAACCUCAUGAAACAACUUGAAGCUCUGACCCUGAACCACCUAGCUAAACUGCUCUUAGAUACCUGAUUCUCAGAUACUAUUGAGAAAAUAAACAAUAAUUAUUUUA